rnacentral:rRNA from 1 species
AUUGAACGCUGGCGGCAGGCCUAACACAUGCAAGUCGAACGAGUGGCGGACGGGUGAGUAAUGCGUGGGAACCUGCCCUCCUUUUUGGGAUAAGCCUUGGAAACGGGGUCUAAUACCGAAUCACGGGUGAUGGGCUCGCGGCCUAUCAGCUUGUUGGUGGGGUGAUGGCCUACCAAGGCGGUGACGGGUAGCCGGCCUGAGAGGGUGACCGGCAACACUGGAACUGAGACACGGUCAAGAAUCCUACGGGAGGCAGCAGUGGGGAAUAUUGCACAAUGGGCGCAAGCCUGAUGCAGCCAUGCCGCGUGUAUGAAGAAGGCCUUCGGGUUGUAAAGUACUUUCAGCGGGGAGGCGUUACCCGCAGAAGAAGCACCGGCUAACUCCGUGCCAGCAGCCGCGGUAAUUC